GUGCAGUUUGGGGUGGGGGUGUGGAGGGUGGUGGGGUUUCUUGGCUGUGGGUUAAUACGAGCGACUGAGGAACUGGUGCGAUUCUGAAAUGUCCAUUGGUAUCGGGGUGACGUGUGUUUGAGGUGUAAUGGUUUUUUUUUUUACUAAUCUCCGUGUGUUUAUACAAUGCCCACGAGGGGUGGGUGUGGGUCUGGGGAUGUGUUUACCACAAUGGGGAAAUAUUCAUGGGCUAGAAUCCUGUACGCUUUCAAAUCUGGGUGUCAAUCCACUGUGGCUGUAGCAGAUUGCUGUGAGCUGUAGGAAGGGAUUAUACAAUGCCUGGGAAUAAAUAAUACAGGAAAUCCUCCACUGUGUGUGUCGAACAUCAUUGAAAGCCUGAACCUUUCAUGUUGCAUUGCACAUGUUGGUCUGGGAAAGGUGAAAGUGUUCCAGGUCUCGGCAGGGGGGGUAAUAUUAUGGGUUUUCGAGCUCUACAGCAUGGAAACAGACCCAUCAGCCUACCUUGUCUAUGUCAGCCAAGUUGGGUAGAGCCCAAUUGCCCGCAUUUGGCCCAUAUCCCUCUAAGUUCUCCCUAUCCCCAUAUAUGUCCAAAUGCCUUUAGAGAUGCAUAGAAACAGGCCCUUCAGCCCACUGUGUCUGCGAUGACCAGUAAUUCCCUGUACCCUAAAAUUAUUCUACACACAGGACAAUCUACAAUUUACCAAAGGACAUGCCCUUUAAUGUACAAACCUACAAGGUCAUGGGGACAAACACCAAACUCCGUACAGAUGGCACCCAUAGUUAAGAUUGAACCUGGGUCUCUGCUGCUGAGGUAGCGACUCUAACGCCACCCACUCCUUCUCACCAGUGUUGAUGCCUGUCCCGCUGAGUUACUCCAGCUUUUUGUGAUCAUUUUUCUACCCAUCUGAACGUUGUAUUUGUGUCCGCUUCUAUAGCUUCCUCUGGCCGCUCGUUAAAGAUAUGGAAACAUAGAAAAUAGGUGCAGGAGUAGGCCAUUCGGCCCUUCGAGCCUGCACCGCCAUUCAAUAUGAUCAUGGCUGAUCAUCCAACUCGGUAUCCUGUACCCGCCUUCUCUCCAUACCCCCUGAUCCCUAUAGCCACAUCUAACUCCCUCUUAAAUAUAGCCUAUGAACUGGCCUCAACUACAUUCUGUGGCAGAGAGUUCCAGAGAUUCACCAGAUUCAGUCCUAAAAUAUUUCCCCUUUAUCCUUAAACUGUGACCCCUUGUUCUGGACUUCCCCAACAUCGGGAACAAUCUUCCUGCAUCUAGCCUGUCCAAUCCCUUACGAAUUUUGCAAGUUUCUAUAAGAUCCCCCCUCAAUCUUCUAAUUUCUAGCGAGUACAAGCUGAGUCUAUCCAGUCUUUCGUCAAAUGGAAGUCCUGACAUCCCAGGAAUCAGUCUGGUGAACCUUCUCUGAACUACCUUAGAAUAAGAGCGUGUGUUCACUUUAUCCAUGCCUCUCAUGAUCUUGUACACCUUAAUAAGGUCACCCCUCAGCUUUUACGCUCCAAUGAAAAAAGUCCCAGCCUCUCCAACCUCUCCCUGUAACUCAAGCCAAGUUACCAUCCAGGUGAAUCUCUUCUGCAUCCUUUACAACUCAGUGACAUCUUUGAUGUCGAUCUCAGUGCCUUGGGAUGAUUGGGGAUAAAUGGAAUGUCUCGAUCUGUUGCCACAAAUUGGUCAGAACUGAAAUAUACACUGGUGAUUGGGAUGAUUUAAGACCAUAGAGUCAAGUGGCACAAAAACAGGACCACAUUUGAUGAGACCCUCUGAACACGGACACUAACUGGGGCCUCACCAGCGUCAGUACUGAACAUCACAGCGUCAGUCAGGACAGGGAGACGACUCAUGGGGCAGUGACGAGAGUUGGAUUGUUUUCUUUCCAACACCAGAGGGCUUAGGUUUAAGGUGAGGGGGAGAGAUUUAAAGAUGUACCCGGAAGGUUUUUUUAACUAAGAGCUUGAGCUAUUGUGACAUUGUGGGCCAAAGUGCCUGUUUCUGUGCUGUACUGUUCUAUGCUGUCCCACGAGUGAGUGAUGUUAAGAGUUUAACAAAAUCCAGACACAUUUUUGUUUUGAGCAGAGUUUUAUGGUGCAGUUGUCUGCUGCCUUGGCUAGAAUCGGACUCAAUUUUGGACCUUGUAACUUCAAUAAAAAACUUGAUUUCUCCAACUAACAAAA